UACAGAGGUCUCAAGCGUUGUUCGGAUUCAUUGGGCGUAAAGGGUGCGUAGGCGGCGCGGUAAGUCGGGUGUGAAAUCUCGGAGCUUAACUCCGAAACUGCAUUCGAUACUGCCGUGCUUGAGGACUGGAGAGGAGGCUGGAAUUUACAGUGUAGCGGUGAAAUGCGUAGAUAUCGUAAGGAAGACCAGUGGCGAAGGCGGGUCUCUGGACAGUUCCUGACGCUGAGGCACGAAGGCCAGGGGAGCAAACGGG
rnacentral:rRNA from 1 species